AAAAUAUCUCAUCCAAAAAAUAAAAUUGUGCUCCGACGUCUCAUCCUAAAUUGGAACAGAGGCCCACAGGCCCAAAUGUAAUGGCCACUGAUACGCUGUCGUUUCUUAGCUGUGCUCCUGUCUUGGCGCUUUCCCCUCUUCGCUUGUUAUAAAUACACAGCAACAGCUUCAUGAUUUCCCUCUAAACAAGUCCAACAUUUUUACUCUGUCUCGCUUUAUCCCUGCAAAAACCCUAAUCUUAUGGCAAUGGUCAAUCGGAAACCCUAGCAGGAUAAAGCUACAGAAUAUUUUGAUUCUCGGUUGUGAUUGUAUUUUACUAUCUUAAUUAAAGGAAGAAAUGUCGUCAAGGAGAGAGCUAUUAGAUAGAUGGAGAGGCAUUGAAGAAGAAGAGGAACGAAACGACGAUGACAAUCCCCUCAAACUGCGCCGUCUUCAUCAGCGCAAAGAACAAUGGUUUGCACAUACGUUUACUUAUUUGAUUAGCUUGCCAGAAGAAAACCAUAUAUGGUGCGGGUCUUGGGAUUUAAUGGGGCCUCUUUUGGAAACAUUCUACAAUUAUUUCAAAGACGAUCGCCCUGAUUCUCCUCUCCGGCUCUUGUGGAAGAGGAUUUCUCAGGAAAUGCGACAUUGCAUCCAAUGCAUAUCUCAGCACCACCAGGCCCAAGAAUUGUACGCCAUGGAGUAUGAGUUCAGUUCCAUUGGUCCUCUUCUCGAUGUGCUGCGAACUCUUGAUGAGGAAAGGUUGACUCAGCACUUGCGGGAGAUCAAUGCUACACUAAACAAGAAUGAGUACGAUCCCCUUCGGGAUAAUGCUCAAGUUGUUAGUCUUAUGUAUGAGGUCUUGAUGUUUCCUAUCCUGCUGGAUGAUCAGUCGUUGUUUACUGAAUUUGAAUUAUUCAUUGAAGCAGUCGAUGAAAUGCACGAGUUGGCUUUGGCUGGAUAUCAACACUUUCCGGGUGUUUAUGCGUUGCUCUUUUUCAAUAGAAGAGUACGAACUGUUGGUCGACGGUUAGCUCGAUCUAUGGAAAAAUUGAGGAGAGCAGCAGAUAUGGAACCUUUGCAGCCUUUGCUGAACAAAAUUAUUGGGUUUUUAGAGACAGAAGCACUACCAUCAGUUUCCAGGACAUUAAGGCCAAGAGCACAGCUGGAGCGUCUAUCUAUAUGGCUCGGAAUCACAUCCUUGCUUGAGUUCCUAGAACCUCCUGCUUUUGAAGAAGGGAUACUGGAACGCUAUCCCAUUUUCUUUGAUAUAGUGCUCAACCAUGUUGGUGGUGAUUCAGCUGAAUUUUCUCAUGCAGUUAGCUGUUUGAAAGAACUUUUUAGAAUCCUUGGUUGUAAACUUUGGCUGAGGUCUACAUUGUCUCCAAGUGUAAUGCGGAACACCCUAAUGGGCCAGUGUUUCCACACUCGAAAUGAGAAGAUCCAUAAAGAUAUUUUUGAUCUGUUUCCACCUUUUCUUCAGUCACUUGAGGCUUUGCAGGAUGGGGAGCAUGAAAAGCAGCGCAGACAUUUUCUUUAUUUUCUUCUCCAUCAAGUUCCUGUGAGCAGCAACUUUAAUGUUCUCACCAGAAAAUUGGCAUGCAAGAUAGCCCUUCUUAUCAUUCACCGAGGCUACAAGAUGAACCCACCAUGCCCCCCAGUUGAAUGUGCACAUAUGUGGGGCCCUUCACUUGUGUCAUCUUUGAAGGAUUCUUCACUUCAUAAUUCUCUUCGGCAACCUGCUUUUGAUCUAGUACAAACUGUUAUAGUGUCUGAUGCUGCUGCCCUAGUAACUGCAUUGUUGAAUAACCCUGCACGUUUGGAUGUUGAUACACAUCUUUCAGUUGAGUUAAAUGAUGGAAAUGAUGAUGGGCUUCCAUUUUCUUCGGAUGUUGAAGAAAAGGAUGAAAGUUGUUGGAGGGAAUUCAGUGCACAGAGUAAAAUUACUUCUCAGGAGUACAAAGGAUGGAUGUGUAUUCCCAUGUUAUGGAUUGAUGUUCUUGUUGACAUUGAUCCUUCUAUCCUCCCAGUAUCAUUUUCAAAAGCUGUUUUCUGGUCCCGAACUCAUUUAACCAUGAUAGAGCCUGAAAGUAAUGCAGACAUGGUACUUGCUGUUAGACCCUGGCUUUCAUCUUCAGCCACAGAAAUCUCCACUUCAUUUGGGUGGAAGGUCCCAACUGGUUUUGAUGAUGGUGGAGGUGGGAAGGAGUCAAAAAACUCGCUCAGAGUGUCAAUGAUGCAUCUUCCAUUGAUAAGAACAUUCAACAGGUUAACUGCACAUUUUUUAGUUCAAAUGGGGCAAGGGGAGCUUCGGAAGCAGUGGACAUGGGAACCAGGGAUGGCAGAGAGCUUGAUCCUUUCACUCUUCGAUCCUAAUGAUAGUGUAAGGCAAGUUGGAAAGUGUCUCCUGGAGCAAGUUUCAAAUACAAGGGGUCUUGCAUGUGGUCUGGAGUUCCUUUGCUCUAGUGGCUCUUCUUUGUCAGCCACAUAUUCAGGCUUGAGACAUGCUUUAAAAGUGGUUCAAUUAGAUUCUGUUAUAUCAAAAUAUCAGAUUUUACAGCAUUUUUACUUUAUAUUGCGGAAACUACUUAAAGAAGGGGAUUCACCCAAUCCAGAUUUAUCUGGAACUCCAAAUAUAAGAAAGUACUCUUGUGAAGGCGGAUUUCUGGCACAGCCAGUCUUCAGUUCUUUACCCAUAAACAUAGAUGGGUCUCCAUCAAAUGUUGACUUCAAAUUACAAGAGAAUUUCCGCUGUUUACUGUCAGCAGCUGCAUGGCCCGCAAUUAGGAAGUGCUUGGUAGAAGGGAAAGGAUUCAUUGAUUACAGACUCUGUCAGAUGACUUGCGUCCGUGUACUUGAAAUCCUCCCUGUUGUCUACGAGAGACUUUGUCCAUCUAUCAGAAAAAGGUCAAGGGAUUCUGGAAAGACAGUGGAAAAUUUGUGGGAUUUCAUAUGGCUACAUGAUCUGAUUGACUGGGGGAGAUCAUCCCUUAAGGUUGUAGUCGUCUAUUGGAAACGGACAGUAACUUCUCUACUUAGUCUGCUCAAGGAAUCUUGGAGUAAUACUUCUUCAUUGGCUUUUAAGGCAAUUGAGAAUCUUAUAUCAUGCGAUAAUGUUAAUGUUGAUCAGUUGAUGGAACAAGUUUCUCACCUUCGUGUUUCAUUAUCUAAGGAAGUUUCUUAUGAUAGUGAGAUGGCUAAAUUAGAAACAACUGCAUUACUUCCUGAAGAUUUGCCUUCCUUGAGAAGGUAUUCAGAUUCUGAUGCGCUUGUUGUCCCGCUGGAUUAUACCAAUAUUGAAACCCUGGACUCAGCAUCAGUACCUGAUAGAAGGGAGAAAAGUAGCAUUAUUGUUGUUUCGGAUGAUGAAGUAGAUGAACAGAUUUUACAUGCUAAGGUCAUUCAACCCAUCAAUGAUUCACGUCAUGGUCAAUUAGACAAUCAGACAGUGGCUCCAGCAGCUGAGGAAAGCACUUUGGUAAUGGACACCACAAAGGAUAGGGUUUCUAUCAGUAAGGCUUCAAGGGGUUUAUGGAAUUCCUUUGAACAGAAGGAUGUUUUAGAUAGAUCUGGCCUCACUUCUCAGAAGCAGGAUUCUCAUAAAUUAAGCAGCAAACCACCCAUUUCUUUCAAAUCAAUAGGGGAAGAUUAUAACAGAAACAAAGUUGAGUCCAAAGGCAAUGUAAAUGAUGCUUUCUCAUCUCAGUGUAAAAUUACUUCGAAGAACUCUGAUGAUGCUCCUGUGAGUGCUAAAAGUAUGAAUCAGUCUCGUCAUAAUCUGGUUUCUGAAACUAGAGAUUCAAUACUGAAAAAGAUUGUACGUGAUGCUAAUGACGAUCUAUCUGAGUCUGCACUCAAAUCUGUGAGACAGCAGCCCUCGCUUCUGGCAAAGUUAAGUGCUUGUGGUCCAAAAAGGCAACUUAUCCAACUUAAAACACCUUUUGAAAAUAGAUGUGGAACUCUACAGCGAAUGGGGGCUGUAUUCAAAAGGUUUAAGCCUCCAAAGCUUGAUGACUGGUAUAGACCCAUUUUAGAAAUUAAUUACUUUGAAGCAGUGGGGUUAGCAUCUGCAAGUGAAGAUGAGGAUCGUACUGUUGGUAGGUUAAAGGAGGUUCCUGUGUGUUUUCAAUCACCAGAACAGUAUGUUGAAAUUUUUCAGCCAUUAGUCCUGGAGGAGUUUAAAGCGCAGUUGCAUAGUUCCUUUCUGGAGAUGUCUUCAUGGGAAGACAUGUAUUAUGGAAACCUAUCAGUGCUGUCCGUUGAGAGAGUUGAUGACUUUCAUCUUGUUCGCUUUGUUCAUGAUGACAAUGUUUCUGCAUUAUCCAAAAUCUUUUCAGAGAAUGACCUUGUUUUGCUGACAAAAGAGGCUCCGCAAAGUAAUUCCCAUGAUGUUCAUAUGGUUGGAAAGGUUGAGAGACGGGAGAGAGACAACAAAAGAAGGGCAAGUAUGCUUUUAAUUAGGUUCUAUUUUCUAAAUGGAUCUUCACGCUUGAAUCAAGCGAGGAAGCAACUACUUGAACGUAGCAAAUGGCAUGCAAGUCGCAUCAUGAGCAUUACACCUCAACUUCGAGAAUUUCAAGUGCUAUCAUCAAUAAAGGAUAUUCCCAUUCUUUCAGCUAUUUUAAAACCUGUCAAAGAUUCUCCAGGUUAUAAUAAAUCACGAGAGCUAGCACUGGGUAGGCUUUCCCAGCCCUUGCAGCAAGCACUGGAGGCAUCAUUCAAUGACAGCCAAUUGGAGGCUAUCAGUGUUGCAAUCGGAUUGCCUAAUUCGAAGAAAGAUUUUGAGUUGUCUCUUAUACAGGGUCCUCCAGGUACAGGGAAGACCCGAACUAUAGUGGCCAUUGUCAGUGGCUUGCUUGGUUCACUACAUGGAACAAAUGAUGCUAAGCAUUCUCUAAAUGGACGUCCAAAUAAUAGUUCAUGCUCCAUGAAUACAAGGCCAAAAGUUAGCCAGUCAGUUGCACUUGCAAGGGCGUGGCAGGAUGCAGCCUUGGCCAGACAAUUGAAUGAGGAUGUGGGAAGAAAUGAGGAGUCACCGGCAGGUUAUCUGAAGCGAAGGGUGCUCAUUUGUGCUCAAUCAAAUGCUGCAGUUGAUGAGCUGGUGUCAAGAAUUUCCAGUGGAGGCCUUUAUGGUAGUGAUGGGAAAAUGUACAAGCCUUAUAUUGUAAGGGUUGGUAAUGCAAAAACAGUUCAUCAAAAUUCAAUGCCCUUCUUUAUUGAUACACUGGUUGAUCAUCGACUUGCAGAAGAGAGGAAUUUGAGUGAUGCUAAGAAUGAUUCUAGUCUAGUAUCUUCUACAGCAUUGCGUUCUAAUCUUGAAAAGUUAGUAGAUCGCAUUAGGUACUAUGAGGCUAAGCGAGCUAACUUGCAGAACUCGGACCUGAAAAAUUCCUUAGAUGAUGAAAUGCUGAAAGGGGAUGACAGAAAAGAAAUGUCAGAUGCCGAAUUAGAGGUGAAGCUGCGAAAACUAUAUGAACAGAAGAAACAAAUUUUUAAAGAUCUUAGUACUGCUCAGGCACAGGAGAAAAAAACUAACGAAGAAAUUAAGAAUAUGAAACAUAAGCUGCGGAAGUCAAUACUAAAGGAAGCUGAAAUAGUGGUGACUACAUUAAGUGGGUCUGGCGGUGAUCUUUAUGGAGUUUGCUCCGAAUCUAUGUCAAGUUAUAAAUUUGGGAACCCAUCUGAGCGUACUCUUUUUGAUGCAGUUAUAAUUGAUGAGGCAGCACAAGCUCUGGAACCUGCUACUCUGAUUCCUCUUCAGCUUUUGAAGUCAAAUGGGACCAAAUGUAUCAUGGUUGGUGAUCCAAAGCAGCUUCCUGCGACAGUCCUCUCUAAUGUUGCAAGCAAAUUUCUUUAUGAAUGCAGUAUGUUUGAGCGUCUACAAAGAGCUGGUCAUCCUGUUACCAUGCUCACUAAACAGUAUAGGAUGCACCCGGACAUUUGCCAGUUUCCUUCCUUGCAUUUUUAUGAUGGGAAGCUGUUGAAUGGAGAAAACAUGUCAAGCAAAUUAGUCCCAUUUCAUGAGACUGAGGGCCUUGGUCCUUAUGCAUUCUAUGAUGUGAUUGAUGGCCAGGAACUUCGUGGUAAGAAUUCUGCUGCAUUUUCUCUUUAUAAUGAGCGCGAGGCUGACGCUGCAGUUGAACUACUUAGAUUCUUCAAGAAGAGGCACCCCUCUGAAUUUGAAGGUGGAAAAAUUGGCAUCAUAACACCAUACAAGUGUCAACUUUCGCUUUUGCGUUCUCGUCUUUCUAGUGCAUUUGGGUCUUCGGUUAUAGCUGAUAUGGAGUUUAACACUGUGGAUGGUUUUCAAGGCCGAGAAGUAGACAUAUUGAUACUUUCCAGUGUUAGAGCAGGUGAGGCAUAUACUCAUGUAAAUGGAGUCAACUCCAGCAGUAUUGGAUUUGUUGCUGAUGUUAGGCGGAUGAAUGUUGCCCUGACAAGAGCAAAGCUCUCACUUUGGAUAUUUGGUAAUGCAAGGACCUUGCAGGCAAAUCAUAACUGGGCUGCUCUAAUAAAAGAUGCCAAACAGAGAAACUUGGUAAUCUCUGUAAAAAGGCCAUAUAAAUUUCUUACAACAGCUCCAAGGGAUCAUUCUGCUCCUGAAAAAUCUGAUAAUCAUUCAAGACAAGCAAAGAAUUUUGGGAAUUUUAGAGAACCUAGCAAGCAACACAGGAGUUCAAAGCAUAUUGGCUCUGUGGGAACAGUUACGGAAGACGAUGUUUCAGCCAAUAAGGAUUCUGUCUGUAGUAGCAAAAAAAGAGGUAGAGAUGAUCAUGGCAUUCUACCUGUUGAUGAUAGUGGUGAGAACAGAAUUCUAAAGAAUGUAAAGUCUCCAAUUUCAAGAGAAUAUCUUAAGGAUGGUGGAAGUAAGUGCAGCCACAGAAGCAAGAAGAAACUUGAUUCUGAGAAUCCUCAUGUGAGUAAGAGGACAGAUAAAUGCAUGAAUUCAAAGAGUAAAUUAUGCGAACAAGAAACAAGCAAUAACCUUAAAAAAUUCAAAUCCAAUGUGGUAAAAGGACCAAAUAAAUCCUUUAAGCAUGAUAGUAAUUUGGAAACUUCAACUUCCCCAGCGGAAGAUAGCGUUAAAAGGAUGGGGGCCAAUGAUGGUCGGGCUCCUGAUCAAAUAGGCGCUUCUGAAGACUUAAUCACAAAAAGAAAACAACAACGUGAGGCUGUUGAUGCUAUUCUUUAUUCAUCUCUCAUUUCUUCCAAGAAGUCGGAACAAUCAAAGAAACCUGUACCUACAAAGAGGCUGCUGCCUCCUUCAAGUGUAAAUAGUUGUAUCAAACCAGCCAAAUCUAGAAAAGGUCCAUCCGUACCUUGAAAAGGUGCAACUGGAGACUAGAGCACAGCAAAUCAGAGAAAUCUUACAUUUUUGUGGUGAAUCAGAAAGAAGUAAAAAUGGAAUUCCUUAAUAUGUAAGGAUUAUGAAGUCAAACUCUUGUCUACAAUGCAAAUGAAGCUUUCUAAUGAUCUCUAUGGCUGGAUGAAAAUUGAAGGGAGAUCAAGGGCCAUUUGUCAGCUGGAAACGGUCAUGGUCUUGAAUGAUAAGAACGCCAAGGUAAUUAUGGAUGACCUUAGCGUUUUUUGUUUGUUUUGUUUUGAACAUUUUACAGUAGCAUACCCUUGGAAUUGGAAACCUAGUAAUGGUGGCCUAAUUAAAUGUGGCAGAUGAGUUGGGUUUCUCUUCCGUCUGGAUCACUGGGUUUUGUUAUGAAGUUUUGUGUUAUUUGCCAAUAUGGGUUUUACGCAAUACCCUUUUCUUUUAGAGUACCUGAUAGCAUGCUAGUGCUGUAAAUACUAGUUAUUUCUGUUGAUAUCCUGCUGGGUUAGUCAAUAAAAAAUGUGUAUAUAUAUAUAUAUAGGCAGUGACGCAAGAAUGGUACCAAUCGUGGAGCAUCGGAUCGAAAAGUGAAAGUUGAUUACCGUUUGCUAAGUGUAGGGUUGUAGAAAUAAAAUCUCUUAACAAAAAUAAUGAAGCAAGAAGGCAGAUCCAAGUGAAGUCUUCACUCCAAAAGCUAGUGAGGGCCCUUACCCGUUUAUUCAUUCCAGUCCACUCUUAUUAUAUUAUAUGGGUAUGGGAAGUAUAUAAGAAAUAAAUGGAUUGUAAUACAGAAAUUACUUUUCUUUUAUUUAUACGAGGUAGAUUAAUAUUAGAUUAGAUUGAA